UCGCCUGCCCGGGCCCAUGGUGGGGCUGUGCAUUCACACAGCAGCUGCAGCAGACUGAGCAGAGAAUAUCCAUGGCCGCCUGAUGCGGAACUGCGCUACUAACCGUGGUGCAGAGACGCCAGAUUGCAUAGCGUAUUGCAAGUGAUGUCACGGCGUGCGCACUAAGAAAGCGAACGCAUGUGCGGGCGCUCAGGCAGGCCCGCACAUAUCUCAUCUUACCCCAGACUUAUACAGGCUGGCUGAGCGCUGUUUACAUUAACGCACAAGCUUUAUUCGCUGGAUGACACAAUUAUAUCCAGAGCAGACGAGCGUGUUGUAUCCAGGAGAAACGAAAGACAAACAGCGGAGACCGAUGAUAUACAUGUCUGGCUGAUGAGUGCCCAAAAGAUGGAUAUACUGUAGGAAAUAGUGAAAGCUGCACAAGGCCAUAUACAAGCUUAGAGAAAUAAAAUAUUAUCUGAAGGCGGGCAGCCCCUUUUUCUAUGAUACAUUUUACAGUACUAAAUAUAUUUUGUAUAUACAAGGCCUGGUUCUGAGUCAGACGGAACUUUCAGCAUGGAUGCGAAAGAUGAGUUACUGCACACCGCCCAGAAGCGAGUUUACGCACUUUGCAUAUGUCCAUCCUCUUCUGAGUUGGAAGGAACUGUCUGUCCUCUUCUGAGUUGGAAGGAACUGUCUGUCCUCUUCUGAGUUGGAAGGAACUGUCUGUCCUCUUCUGAGUUGGAAGGAACUGUCUGUCCUCUUCUGAGUUGGAAGGAACUGUCUGUCCUCUUCUGAGUUGGAAGGAACUGUCUGUCCUCUUCUGAGUUGGAAGGAACUGUCUGUCCUCUUCUGAGUUGGAAGGAAUUGUCUGUCCUCUUCUGAGUUGGAAGGAACUGUCUGUCCUCUUCUGAGUUGGAAGGAACUGUCUGUCCUCUUCUGAGUUGGAAGGAAUUGUCUGUCCUCUUCUGAGUUGGAAGGAACUGUCUGUCCUCUUCUGAGUUGGAAGGAAUUGUCUGUCCUCUUCUGAGUCGGAAUAUGUCUGUCUGUGAAAUAGGGCGUUUUUUUUUUGUGGUGGGAACUGUGCGUAAUGUAUAAUGCGCAUUUUAGUUCUAUAUAAAGGACCACCUACAUUUGCGGAUAUCCAGCGCUUGCAGCUCCUUACAACUGAAGAAGGGGCUCAUGGGAAGGAGGGAGCCUGGCCAAAGUAUAACAUGGGUGUGUUGGCACAAAUGCGGCCUACGAAGGCAGGGACACAGGUGCAUAUGUACCUGUCAGGAGAUGGGACCGUAGUGGCUGCUCAGCCUCUGGUGCAAGUGAUAAAAUUAUGAUUAUGAGUGCCUGUCGCAUCUGAUUGGCUGAUUGUAUCCUAAAUCCUCCCACUAUCACAUUGCUGCAGAUAAAACAUUAUCCCGGAAAGUACUUUAAGAAAUUGUUGAGAACUAAUUGCACCAUGUGAUGCAAGUACAUAUUUUUUUCUUUUGUAUUUUUUAUUUUGGCACUGCAUCUGUGCGGGAGGCUGGCAGUGCGAUCAGCUAUGUGUGUCCGAUGGACAGACAAGCUGAUCACCUUAAAAAAAAAUAAAAAAAAAGUAAAAAAAAAUAAUUGCUACUUACCCGUCCAGGAGCCGGUCAUCAGUGCUUCAGUAAGCGCUGCCGAGCACCAGGACCUCCUGCUGCUGUUACCGCUGUGCAGUAAAGUGAUGCUGCAACACAGCAGCUCACUUUACAGCACAGGGGGUCUCAGCUCAGCAGCAGGAUCCGGCACCGUGCAGCCUCCUGGAAACUGCAGUCACCUGCUCCUGGAUGGGUAAGUAUAAUUACUGAUGGGGGGGUCUUGGUGUGGGGGUAGUUGUGACGGGAGGAGUACCCAGCAACGGCGGUAGCAAUGGAUAGUGGCGCAUGCGCAACAGGAUAUCGGGUUAUGUUUUGCCCAAUAAUGCUGCGGAGGCAUUCGCAGGGAUAGAGCUUUCUCACAAGCUCUGUCCCUGCAUGCGAUAACUGAUACAUCUGUACUCAAUUAUUGCAUUGCGAGUUUGGACGAUUUUUUCACCUGUCAUCCGCAUCCUCAUAAAUGGGCCCUUAAGUAUUUUUAAAAUGUUUUGAGCAAUAAACAUCUUGCCUUUAA